UCCUGACUGACCGAUAGUGAACCAGUACCGUGAGGGAAAGGCGAAAAGAACCCCGGCGAGGGGAGUGAAAAAGAACCUGAAACCGUGUACGUACAAGCAGUGGGAGCACGCUUAGGCGUGUGACUGCGUACCUUUUGUAUAAUGGGUCAGCGACUUAUAUUCUGUAGCAAGGUUAACCGAAUAGGGGAGCCGAAGGGAAACCGAGUCUUAACUGGGCGUUAAGUUGCAGGGUAUAGACCCGAAACCCGGUGAUCUAGCCAUGGGCAGGUUGAAGGUUGGGUAACACUAACUGGAGGACCGAACCGACUAAUGUUGAAAAAUUAGCGGAUGACUUGUGGCUGGGGGUGAAAGGCCAAUCAAACCGGGAGAUAGCUGGUUCUCCCCGAAAGCUAUUUAGGUAGCGCCUCGUGAAUUCAUCUCCGGGGGUAGAGCACUGUUUCGGCAAGGGGGUCAUCCCGACUUACCAACCCGAUGCAAACUGCGAAUACCGGAGAAUGUUAUCACGGGAGACACACGGCGGGUGCUAACGUCCGUCGUGAAGAGGGAAACAACCCAGACCGCCAGCUAAGGUCCCAAAGUCAUGGUUAAGUGGGAAACGAUGUGGGAAGGCCCAGACAGCCAGGAUGUUGGCUUAGAAGCAGCCAUCAUUUAAAGAAAGCGUAAUAGCUCACUGGUCGAGUCGGCCUGCGCGGAAGAUGUAACGGGGCUAAACCAUGCACCGAAGCUGCGGCAGCGACGCUUAUGCGUUGUUGGGUAGGGGAGCGUUCUGUAAGCCUGCGAAGGUGUGCUGUGAGGCAUGCUGGAGGUAUCAGAAGUGCGAAUGCUGACAUAAGUAACGAUAAAGCGGGUGAAAAGCCCGCUCGCCGGAAGACCAAGGGUUCCUGUCCAACGUUAAUCGGGGCAGGGUGAGUCGACCCCUAAGGCGAGGCCGAAAGGCGUAGUCGAUGGGAAACAGGUUAAUAUUCCUGUACUUGGUGUUACUGCGAAGGGGGGACGGAGAAGGCUAUGUUGGCCGGGCGACGGUUGUCCCGGUUUAAGCGUGUAGGCUGGUUUUCCAGGCAAAUCCGGAAAAUCAAGGCUGAGGCGUGAUGACGAGGCACUACGGUGCUGAAGCAACAAAUGCCCUGCUUCCAGGAAAAGCCUCUAAGCAUCAGGUAACAUCAAAUCGUACCCCAAACCGACACAGGUGGUCAGGUAGAGAAUACCAAGGCGCUUGAGAGAACUCGGGUGAAGGAACUAGGCAAAAUGGUGCCGUAACUUCGGGAGAAGGCACGCUGAUAUGUAGGUGAAGUCCCUUGCGGAUGGAGCUGAAAUCAGUCGAAGAUACCAGCUGGCUGCAACUGUUUAUUAAAAACACAGCACUGUGCAAACACGAAAGUGGACGUAUACGGUGUGACGCCUGCCCGGUGCCGGAAGGUUAAUUGAUGGGGUCAGCGCAAGCGAAGCUCUUGAUCGAAGCCCCGGUAAACGGCGGCCGUAACUAUAACGGUCCUAAGGUAGCGAAAUUCCUUGUCGGGUAAGUUCCGACCUGCACGAAUGGCGUAAUGAUGGCCAGGCUGUCUCCACCCGAGACUCAGUGAAAUUGAACUCGCUGUGAAGAUGCAGUGUACCCGCGGCAAGACGGAAAGACCCCGUGAACCUUUACUAUAGCUUGACACUGAACAUUGAGCCUUGAUGUGUAGGAUAGGUGGGAGGCUUUGAAGUGUGGACGCCAGUCUGCAUGGAGCCGGCCUUGAAAUACCACCCUUUAAUGUUUGAUGUUCUAACGUGGACCCGUGAUCCGGGUUGCGGACAGUGUCUGGUGGGUAGUUUGACUGGGGCGGUCUCCUCCUAAAGAGUAACGGAGGAGCACGAAGGUUGGCUAAUCCUGGUCGGACAUCAGGAGGUUAGUGCAAUGGCAUAAGCCAGCUUGACUGCGAGCGUGACGGCGCGAGCAGGUGCGAAAGCAGGUCAUAGUGAUCCGGUGGUUCUGAAUGGAAGGGCCAUCGCUCAACGGAUAAAAGGUACUCCGGGGAUAACAGGCUGAUACCGCCCAAGAGUUCAUAUCGACGGCGGUGUUUGGCACCUCGAUGUCGGCUCAUCACAUCCUGGGGCUGAAGUAGGUCCCAAGGGUAUGGCUGUUCGCCAUUUAAAGUGGUACGCGAGCUGGGUUUAGAACGUCGUGAGACAGUUCGGUCCCUAUCUGCCGUGGGCGCUGGAGAACUGAGGGGGGCUGCUCCUAGUACGAGAGGACCGGAGUGGACGCAUCACUGGUGUUCGGGUUGUCAUGCCAAUGGCACUGCCCGGUAGCUAAAUGCGGAAGAGAUAAGUGCUGAAAGCAUCUAAGCACGAAACUUGCCCCGAGAUGAGUUCUCCCUGACCCUUUAAGGGUCCUGAAGGAACGUUGAAGACGACGACGUUGAUAGGCCGGGUGUGUAAG
rnacentral:rRNA from 1 species